rnacentral:rRNA from 1 species
CCUACGGGAGGCAGCAGUGGGGAAUUUUGGACAAUGGGCGCAAGCCUGAUCCAGCAAUGCCGCGUGCAGGAUGAAGGCCCUCGGGUUGUAAACUGCUUUUGUACGGAACGAAAAAGUCUGCCCUAAUACGGUGGGCCCAUGACGGUACCGUAAGAAUAAGCACCGGCUAACUACGUGCCAGCAGCCGCGGUAAUACGUAGGGUGCGAGCGUUAAUCGGAAUUACUGGGCGUAAAGCGUGCGCAGGCGGUUUAUAUAAGACAGAUGUGAAAAUCCCCGGGCUCAAACCUGGGACCUGCAUUUGUGACUGUAUAGCUAGAGUACGGUAGAGGGGGAUGGAAUUCCGCGUGUAGCAGUGAAAUGCGUAGAUAUGCGGAGGAACACCGAUGGNGAG